AGAGCGAACGCUGGCGGCAGGCUUAACACAUGCAAGUCGAGCGGGCGUAGCAAUACGUCAGCGGCAGACGGGUGAGUAACGCGUGGGAACAUACCUUUUGGUUCGGAACAACCCAGGGAAACUUGGGCUAAUACCGGAUAAGCCCUUACGGGGAAAGAUUUAUCGCCGAAAGAUUGGCCCGCGUCUGAUUAGCUAGUUGGUGAGGUAACGGCUCACCAAGGCGACGAUCAGUAGCUGGUCUGAGAGGAUGAUCAGCCACAUUGGGACUGAGACACGGCCCAAACUCCUACGGGAGGCAGCAGUGGGGAAUAUUGGACAAUGGGCGCAAGCCUGAUCCAGCCAUGCCGCGUGAGUGAUGAAGGCCCUAGGGUUGUAAAGCUCUUUUGUGCGGGAAGAUAAUGACGGUACCGCAAGAAUAACGCCCGGACUAACUUCGUGCCAGCAGCCGC
rnacentral:rRNA from 1 species